AAAAGAGGCAGGGAGAUUAAAUUCUUGUCGUUUCGCGGUUAAAGUCUUGGGAGGAUUAGGUCUUAGGCGCGCUUGUCGCAGCCCCGGUAACGGUUGAAGAUCACGCGAUAAUUUAAAAACAAGGCCUUGGCCUUGUUUUUUUU
rnacentral:sRNA from 1 species